rnacentral:rRNA from 1 species
AGCAGCCGCGGUAAUUCCAGCUCCAAUAGCGUAUAUUAAAGUUGUUGCAGUUAAAAAGCUCGUAGUUGAAUUUCGGGAUCAAUAUAUCGGUCGUGCCUUGGUACGUACUGGUAUCAUUGGUUUCUCCUUUCUGACGAACCAUGAUGUCAUUAAUUUGGUGUUAUGGGAAGUUAGGACUGUUACUUUGAAAAAAUAGAGUGUUUAAAGCAGGCUUUAGCUUGAAUACAUUAGCAUGGAAUAAUGAAAUAGGACGUUCGAACCUAUUUUGUUGGUUUCUAGGAUCAACGUAAUGAUUAAUAGGGAUAGUUGGGGGCAUUAGUAUUCAAUUGUCAGAGGUGAAAUUCUUGGAUUUAUUGAAGACUAACUACUGCGAAAGCAUUUGCCAAGGAUGUUUUCAUUAAUCAAGAACGAAAGUUAGGGAUCGAAGACGAUCAGAUACCGUCGUAGUCUUAACCAUAAACUAUGACCGACUAGGGAUCGGAUGAUGUUAAUUUUUAGUGACUUCAUUCGGCGACCUUAC